rnacentral:rRNA from 1 species
UACAGGGGGGGGCAAGCGUUGUUCGGAAUUACUGGGCGUAAAGGGCUCGUAGGCGGCCGGCUAAGUCCGACGUGAAAUCCCCAGGCUUAACCUGGGAACUGCGUCGGAUACUGGCGGGCUUGAAUCCGGGAGAGGGAGCGGAAUUCCAGGUGUAGCGGUGAAAGUGACGUAGAUAUCUGGAGGAAUACCGGUGGCGAAGGCGGCAUCCGUGGACCAUUACUGACACUGAACCGCGGAAAAGCUAGGGUGAGGCAAAGCGGGG